AUUGAACGCUGGCGGCAUGCUUUACACAUGCAAGUCGAACGGUAACAGGUUAAGCUGACGAGUGGCGAACGGGUGAGUAAUGUAUCGGAACGUGCCCGGUCGUGGGGGAUAACGCAGCGAAAGCUGCGCUAAUACCGCAUACGAUCUGAGGAGGAACGCGGGGGACCGUAAGGCCUCGCGCGAUCGGAGCGGCCGAGGUCAGAUUAGGUAGUUGGAGAGGUAAAGGAUCACCAAGCCAACGAUCUGUAGCUAGUCUGAGAGGACGACCAGCCACACUGGGACUGAGACACGGCCCAGACUCCUAGGGGAGGCAGCAGGGGGGAAUUUUGGACAAUGGGCGAAAGCCUGAUCCAGCAAUGCCGCGUGCAGGAAGAAGGCCUUCGGGUUGUAAACUGCUUUUGUACGGAGCGAAAAGGUCUCCUCUAAUACAGGGGGCUCAUGACGGUACCGUAAGAAUAAGAACCGGCUAACUACGUGCCAGCCGCCGCAGUAA
rnacentral:rRNA from 1 species